GGGUCGAUGAAGAACGCAGCCAGCUGCGUGAAUUAAUGUGAAUUGCAGGACACAUUGAACAUCGAUAUCUUGAACGCACAUUGCAGCUUCGGGUCACUCCCGGAGCAACGCCUGUCUGAGGGUCGGUUAAAUAACCAUCGCAAAAUGUAUUUUUUGCGCAUAGUGGCGUUCGUGGUGUUGAAAGCUUGCCUUUCACAACGUCGCCCUAAGUAUUUGAUCGAUUCGGUUGUCUCUUUCUAGCAGUGCCCAUCUGCCAGAGAGACGUAGCUCGGUGGUUAUUCUAUCGAGUGUUUACGCUCUUCUGUGCAUGCUCGUUUUGGAUGCUUGCGAAAAAAAGUAAGACACCGACAGGUCAACGGAAACAAAAAUGAGGUAGCUUGUCGCUUGGCGUGGCGGCAGUACCGAAAAAUCUCAUUUCAUUCAUCCGACCUCAGAUCAGACGAGAUUACCCGCUGAAUUUAAGCAUAUCACUAAGCGGAGGAAAAGAAACUAACAAGGAUUCUCCUAGUAACGGCGAGUGAAGCGGGAAGAGC
rnacentral:rRNA from 1 species